UAACGCGCAGCGGCGCCGCGGACUGUCCGUCGUGCCGCCACUUGGAGACGCAGCGGAGGAGACGAGCAAGAAGGAGCAAAAGUGAUGAACAGAAGAUGCCAGUCGUUCACGCGGUGAUCGGGGGUUAAUCGACCUCCUCCGUUUGGACCGCUGGUACCCGCCGUGACGCACCGGCGGCGAAGACAGCGCGCAGAUUUCUCACACAACCAGCGCGCCACAUCUCGACCGGACUUAAAGUGGGGAUUUUGCGGGCCGACAGAAUAUGAGUCGGCGUGCGCCUGUGAGCUGAGGAGUGUGUCUCUCUCUUUCUCUCUCUCUCUCUCUCUCUCUAUCGGUCCACGAAGCUUUCCUGCGCCAGGAUGCAGCUGCUCAGAGUUGCGUGGGCACUGACCGGAGCGGCGAUCUGCUGCUUUCUCAUCCUCCUCAUCCACUCGCGCCUGCUGAAAGAAGGCCAGCUGGCAGCGGGGACAUGUGAGAUUGUGACGCUGGACAGGGACAGCAGCCAACCACGGCGGACCAUCGCCAGGCAGACAGCCCGCUGCGCCUGCAAGAAGGGCCAGAUCGCCGGAACUACAAGAGCCAGACCCGCCUGUGUGGACGCUGGUAUUGUUCGGAAAAAGCAGUGGUGUGAGAUGGUGCCAUGUUUGGAGGAUGAAGGCUGCGACCUGUUAGUCAAUAAAUCCGGCUGGACUUGUACACAACCCGGAGGCCGAGUCAAAACCACCACGGCUCUAUGACGUGACAAGAGUCCCCCUCAACACUCUUGCACUAUGGACAACAAUGAUGACCCCUUGACAGACAGCCAAAAACCAUCUACUGUAUAACCACCACCAUCACCACCUCCACCAAAACCACCACCAUCACCACAACCUCACCAGCCCCUGGUCUUGCAAAGGCAAGAAGCAACACAAGCAGCUACAGAGCACCAAGGGCAGCAAGGUCUCAUAACACAGCUGGAGUCUGGAAAACCAGGGAGAGACUGUUUGAGGGGGCGACUCCUCUCCUGGACACUGGACAAACUACUCGCCGUGAAACCUUUACAGUCUCCUGCGAACGGCUGGCUGCUCCGGGCUUGUGACUGCUCCCUCCUGUUAUUUGUCAUCGGGUCAACGCGUCACAUCUGCCUCCUCUCCACUCUGUGAAAUUAGCAGCACACCCUAGUUACAUGAAGGACUGGAAAAACUGUAAUAUCCUAGCGGUUUCAUCAAUUCCUCAUGUCGGGAGUCCCUGCCACACUUGAUGAGAGAGUAGAUCGGUGGCAAAAUUUUAACGGACCAGACCCUGUUGCUUCUUGGACAACCUUUUUUUUUGCGAGGCCGUCGACUGAAGCGGGCGCUCGCCGCUGUGAAUAGGCCUUCUGCUGGAGUAACCCUCCUAUAUUUUUAUAGACCAAA